AUGUCCUCAGUGCUGUCCAAUCAUGAAUGCACACUUCCUACCUGAAAUUAUUUCCAAUAGCUCUGCUGGAGUAUUGGAUUGGUCUUCCUGAGAGAGUGGGCUCCAUUAUGUUCAGGAGCAGAAUGAAAAUGAAAUCAUCAUUAGUCGGAUUGAUUCGGUGUCUGAAUACACAUUGUACCAUGAGGAUCCUCUUACCCUGAGCCAAAGUCUGUCAAAGUCAAUUCCAACAGCUGAUGAGGCCCUUCAGAUCAGGAACAAUGUUCAGUGUACCUACACCUCCUAUUUCCAUUCAGCAGAGACUCAAUUUGCAAUUCAUCAGAAAAAGUUCAUGGAGUUUUGGACCAAUAUCACUGUAAAACUUCCAGGGUCUAACAAUGAUGAAACUCUCAGACCUCCAUCCUAUUGUUUUACUGUUCCUAAAUGAACAGUCCCAUUUACUACAAGUCUGUGAAAGAGUGUCAGGCUGCUUAAUGCCUGGGAACAAAAAAGAUGAAGUAGGGGGCAAUUAACAAAAUCAAAGAAUGUCAUAUUGCCUUGGUUUUUACUUUAUCUCACUGCUACCAGCUCUUUGUAAACCUUGAUUAGGCAGACAGCAUGUUCCUACAUGAGAAAGCAGGUUUUUUUUUUAAUUAAACACAUUCCUUUUUCAUAGUCUG
rnacentral:lncRNA from 7 species